rnacentral:piRNA from 1 species
GCUUCCUUGAGGACUCAAAUGGUGUCAUGA